rnacentral:sRNA from 1 species
CCUGCAGCUUCUGAGAGUAUUCCGCUUGCCAUUUUCACGGCCACAUAGCCUCCAACAAAUGGCUGUUAUUUUCUCCGACCUAACUAUGCGGCUUAGGCAGCCUUACCACUUUUUCACCCUUCUUACAAAACAUUAGCGGACCAUGUACGGCGUUGCAAGGUGGGCAAUUUUGGACAAGUGGUAUCUGGCGAUGGAAUUCAGCCAGCCGAGUUCAUCUUCGAUAUUCACAAUUACGAUAGGGGUCGGAAGACUAGAUAGAGAAACUCCCUAAUACGCCGUUGACAAGGCAGUUCUCGACAUUGCGGCGCAUGCGUGGAACUUUAUAACCGACUUUGACUGGGGACUCAAAGAUGCUUGCGUUCAAAAAUGACCUGCCAUGAACACUACCAGAGC